UAUCCGUCUUUACAUAAUUCCCAACUGUCUUUUGUAACAACGUCUCUGAUUGGUCAAUAGAGCAUAUACUACCGAUCAAACGCUCGCAUUACAAUAUUGUCUGCUCUAUCAAGAUGGCUGAUAUAGUCGGUCUCACACCGUCUAUUCUUGCCGGUUUUGACAAAUACAAGUACAAUGCAGUAGACAUAGU